GAGGGGGCAGCUAUACAUGCAGUCGUACGCUUCUUUUUCCACCGGAGCUUGCUCCACCGGAAAAAGAAGAGUGGCGAACGGGUGAGUAACACGUGGGUAACCUGCCCAUCAGAAGGGGAUAACACUUGGAAACAGGUGCUAAUACCGUAUAACAAUCGAAACCGCAUGGUUUUGAUUUGAAAGGCGCUUUCGGGUGUCGCUGAUGGAUGGACCCGCGGUGCAUUAGCUAGUUGGUGAGGUAACGGCUCACCAAGGCCACGAUGCAUAGCCGACCUGAGAGGGUGAUCGGCCACAUUGGGACUGAGACACGGCCCAAACUCCUACGGGAGGCAGCAGUAGGGAAUCUUCGGCAAUGGACGAAAGUCUGACCGAGCAACGCCGCGUGAGUGAAGAAGGUUUUCGGAUCGUAAAACUCUGUUGUUAGAGAAGAACAAGGAUGAGAGUAACUGUUCAUCCCUUGACGGUAUCUAACCAGAAAAGCCACGGCUAACUACGUGCCAGCAGCCGCGGUAAUACGUAGGUGGCAAGCGUUGUCCGGAUUUUAUUGGGGCGUAAAGCGAGCGCAUGCGGGUUUCUUUAAGUCUUGAUGUGAAAG
rnacentral:rRNA from 1 species